GAUGAACGCUGGCGGCAUGCCUAAUACAUGCAAGUCGAGCGAACGGACGAGAAGCUUGCUUCUCUGAUGUUAGCGGCGGACGGGUGAGUAACACGUGGAUAACCUACCUAUAAGACUGGGAUAACUUCGGGAAACCGGAGCUAAUACCGGAUAAUAUUUUGAACCGCAUGGUUCAAAAGUGAAAGACGGUCUUGCUGUCACUUAUAGAUGGAUCCGCGCUGCAUUAGCUAGUUGGUAAGGUAACGGCUUACCAAGGCAACGAUGCAUAGCCGACCUGAGAGGGUGAUCGGCCACACUGGAACUGAGACACGGUCCAGACUCCUACGGGAGGCAGCAGUAGGGAAUCUUCCGCAAUGGGCGAAAGCCUGACGGAGCAACGCCGCGUGAGUGAUGAAGGUCUUCGGAUCGUAAAACUCUGUUAUUAGGGAAGAACAUAUGUGUAAGUAACUGUGCACAUCUUGACGGUACCUAAUCAGAAAGCCACGGCUAACUACGUGCCAGCAGCCGCGGUAAUACGUAGGUGGCAAGCGUUAUCCGGAAUUAUUGGGCGUAAAGCGCGCGUAGGCGGUUUUUUAAGUCUGAUGUGAAAGCCCACGGCUCAACCGUGGAGGGUCAUUGGAAACUGGAAAACUUGAGUGCAGAAGAGGAAAGUGGAAUUCCAUGUGUAGCGGUGAAAUGCGCAGAGAUAUGGAGGAACACCAGUGGCGAAGGCGACUUUCUGGUCUGUAACUGACGCUGAUGUGCGAAAGCGUGGGGAUCAAACAGGAUUAGAUACCCUGGUAGUCCACGCCGUAAACGAUGAGUGCUAAGUGUUAGGGGGUUUCCGCCCCUUAGUGCUGCAGCUAACGCAUUAAGCACUCCGCCUGGGGAGUACGACCGCAAGGUUGAAACUCAAAGGAAUUGACGGGGACCCGCACAAGCGGUGGAGCAUGUGGUUUAAUUCGAAGCAACGCGAAGAACCUUACCAAAUCUUGACAUCCUUUGACAACUCUAGAGAUAGAGCCUUCCCCUUCGGGGGACAAAGUGACAGGUGGUGCAUGGUUGUCGUCAGCUCGUGUCGUGAGAUGUUGGGUUAAGUCCCGCAACGAGCGCAACCCUUAAGCUUAGUUGCCAUCAUUAAGUUGGGCACUCUAAGUUGACUGCCGGUGACAAACCGGAGGAAGGUGGGGAUGACGUCAAAUCAUCAUGCCCCUUAUGAUUUGGGCUACACACGUGCUACAAUGGACAAUACAAAGGGCAGCGAAACCGCGAGGUCAAGCAAAUCCCAUAAAGUUGUUCUCAGUUCGGAUUGUAGUCUGCAACUCGACUACAUGAAGCUGGAAUCGCUAGUAAUCGUAGAUCAGCAUGCUACGGUGAAUACGUUCCCGGGUCU
rnacentral:rRNA from 1 species